CCUACGGGUGGCAGCAGUGAGGAAUAUUGGUCAAUGGGCGGAAGCCUGAACCAGCCAAGUCGCGUGAGGGAUUAAGGCCCUGCGGGUCGUAAACCUCUUUUGCCGGGGAGCAGUGGUCCGGACGAGUCCGGGCCGGGAGAGUACCCGGAGAAAAAGCAUCGGCUAACUCCGUGCCAGCAGCCGCGGUAAUACGGAGGAUGCGAGCGUUAUCCGGAUUUAUUGGGUUUAAAGGGUGCGUAGGCGGGCAUUUAAGCCGGCGGUCAAAUGUCGGGGUUCAACCCCGGCCUGCCGUCGGAACUGGGUGCCUUGAGUGGGCGAGAAGUAUGCGGAAUGCGUGGUGUAGCGGUGAAAUGCAUAGAUAUCACGCAGAACCACGAGUGCGAAGGCAGCAUACCGGCGCCCGACUGACGCUGAGGCACGAAAGUGCGGGUAUCGAACAGGAUUAGAUACCCCUGUAGUC
rnacentral:rRNA from 1 species